rnacentral:lncRNA from 1 species
GAUUUCCAAACUGUAUUACCAUCAUUUUAUCUCUUCUCAAAGUAUGGAAAAUUAUAUUCAAGAGCUGGACAAAUUGUAUAAAGGUAUAUGUUUUUUUCUAAGAAACUCUUCACAAAAAGUACACUAAACAAAUUUAAAAAUCAAAUGACAUUGACUUAACCGUUGACCAUUUUUUAAGUAGUGCUAUAAUAACAUUCAAAUAUUAUAAGAUUCCAUAAAUUCCUUUUAUUAUAAUCUAAUGGUUUUCAACAUUUAAAAAUAAUGGAUUCUGUUUGUCAAAUUUCUUCUCCAAUAUAGACCAAAAAUACAUUAAUAGAACUAACAAAAAUAUGAAGCACUCUUUAUCCUUAAAUUACAUAAUAUAUUAAAUAGUUUUACACAAUACAAUGAAAAAAUACCAUGGUCAUCAAAAGUUACAAUACUUCUCAGUAUUGUAUGAACACAGUAUCAUUUAAUAUACCAUACUCAAUGUGUGCAUUAUUUGAAGUACAAGUCAUCUUAGGGGACAGCACAGAAAUGGAGUCUAGGGUCUUCAAUUAUCAAAGUUUACAGAAUUGACAAGAUCAAAGAUACCCACUGAAAAUUCAAGAACAAAAUGAGCUCUCACUGAUUGCCAUAUUUAAUUUCUAAGGUAUUUUAGAAUAAAGAAAUGAUCACAAUUAAGUGAGACUAAUUUGGUACAUUUUAAUAAAAUUUAAAGGUGGUAUUAGAUGAAGACACCAAGAUCACUACAGUUAAAGGUAAGGGGCAGGAAUGAGAAAUCAUGCUGUUUAUCAUUCCUCAGUCUUCUCCCAAACCAAAAACCAAGGGGAAAGGACUGGCCUAUUGGAAGAGGCCAGAGUAGAUUUAUGGAAUGUAAGUUCCUUCAAUUUAGUAUUAAUAAGUCUCCUCUACUUCACAUAUAACUCUGAAGGUUUCAACUUGGAGAUUAAUUUAUUUAAUUGCUUACCAAUAUCUGCCUCUUAACUACUCCAAAAGAAUACAUGAGGGAAAAUAUAAAAUAUUCUGAGCUAAUAGAAAAAUGGGUAUACCAAGUGAAAUUGUUGUUUUGAACAUUGGUCAAUUAUCUUUCCCCAUUGGAGCAUCUGUCUUGUAUUUUUAUUUUAAAUAGACACAAUAUCUUUAUUUAUUUUAUUUAUUUUUAUAUGGUGCUGAGGUUUAAACCCAGUGCCUCACAUACACGAGGCAAGUGCUCUACCACUGAGCUAUAACCCCAGCCCCUUGUCUUGUAUUUUUGAGCCACAGUGUGAUGUAGACUAAAGAAAAUGUUUCAUAGCUGUGUGCGACUUUACAUUUUUAAUCAAAUAUAUAGCAAUUAAUGGUGAGAGACUGAAAACAACCUCACCACUCAUUAAUAUAUGCUAAGUUAAAAGAAGAACACACACAAUGCAAUUCUAUGUAGAUGUUAAAAAUGUUAGCAUAAAUAUUUACCUAUUCAUUUGAAAAAAAAUGCCUAUCAUGUAUUUCUAAGAAGACUAUAUAAGAAGCCCCUGUAGUUUAAUUUCAUUUUUAAAAGUAUGUGUAUGCAUGUGAAUAUACAUGUAUAUGUCUGUGUGCAUCAAAAUGCACUUCCAUAUACAUAUCUCUAUGUAUAUAUCUAUGUGUUUUGAAAAUAUAAUGACAGUAAUCUCUGAAUGAUGAGAUUAUGGAAACUUUUUUGAGUAUAUUUCUAACUAUUUCCAUUUUUGGAGGUUUUUAUGUAAUCAGACAAAAGCAAAGUAUUAAGAUUUUCCAAUAGGGAUUAUUUGUUCUACUCUAUCAAUUAAAAAGCAUCUUGACUUUAUUCUAUUUAAUCAUAAUAAUUUAGAAAUAAUUAUCUUUUUUUCUGAAGACAAAGUAAUUACUUGCUAAAUUAUUUAUCCAAAAGACAAGGAUGAGUAACAAGUGUUGUACAUUAUUUUUAAUUAAAAAGAGCAUGCAAUGUAAAGAUACAAAUAUGUGACAGAAUUCUUAAAAAUGUUUUCAAACUCCUCUCUUAGAUUUUAAAGUCUUUGUGAAUUGACGAUAUUAUCAAAAUGUCAUCUCUUCCUUUUAGAUAGGAAAUGAAUGCCUGGUGUUUAAUUUUAGUAAGUGAAGGGCAACAGCCUUAGCUGAGGCUCUCCUAUUAAGAUUUAAUUUCACCAAGUACAACAGAGUGCUUCUGUUUUUUUUAUAAAGAAGGCCAAGAUGAGGACACUUGCACCAAACUGUUGAAUAAAGAUGCUAUAGUAAUUUUUAGAGCUAUCUAUUUGAUUGCUUGAGCUUCAAGGUAGUUCAUCACUUCGCUAUAAUUCACCUGAUAUCACUGCCUCCUAUACCCAAUACUGCAUUUUCCCAUCAGUCCGAUUAGAAAUAGUGAUGCCUUUAUCAGAUUGAUCUGUCUUUCCUUAGUAUGUCUAAGUUUAGAAUAAACAAUUCCCCCACCUACCUGUUAUCACUUAAUACACUGAGGUUUUAGCCACUGAAAGUGCUCAGGGAGAAUUUAACUUAAAACACGUGCAUGUUCUUAAAAGCUGCUCUUUGACUAGGAUAAUAUGAUUCCUUUUAUUUCAUUAGUUUAUCCUAGGAUUGGUCACUAUUUGCAAUCUUUUAUAGUUUCCCCAGAGCAGUUUUGUCUAAAUCAGAAUAUGCUGUGUCCUGUCAGUGCUUUGCCAUCCUUUUUAGCUCCGUUCAUCUCCUUCAGAUAGAAGGAUUCUUCAGGCCAAUUAGAGUGGAGAAAAAUGCUGAGGAUAAGAUGAGAUCAUUGGUUGUGAUUUUAUGAAUUGGAUAAGUUAUCCAAUUCAGUCUGGCAUCAAUGUGAGGUUUCUUGCAUUAUGUGCUUCUCAAUUUUCUCAAAAUCGUCUUUGUAAUAGGCUUAGGUCCGGGCUGUCUUCCUGCUAAAAAAUGGUUCAGUGUUGAAGCCAGAUAGUUUUAAUAAAAUUAUUUGUUAGGCAUGAAAACCAAUGUAUUCUCCUCUUCCAUAGGAAUCUGGCAUAUGAAUGAUUCAAGUAGCUGAGAAAAAAAGUGAAAAUGAAGAAUAAUUAUGGUUAACACUGAAUUAAGAAAGGGGUAAAAAUGCCAUUGCCUUUUUUGCAGAGGUAGUAAGGUCUUAGCAGCUGUGUAAGGAAAAAUAAGUUAUGUGAAGGGUGUAAUAAUCAAGAAUGUGAAAUAUAUAUAUAUAUAUAUAUAUAUAUAUAUAUAUAUAUAUAUAUGUAUGUGGCAAGUUAAAAUUUUAAUCCAGUAGGAAAAAAAGUAUUAAACCUUGUCAUUCUUGCUUGGCUUUGUGUGAAUUUAUAACCCUUUUAAGUUUAUAGUAAGUCAUAGUAAAUUGGCAAAAUAAAUAAAUAAAUGAAUAAAUGAGGAUAACUUCAGUAUCUUCUCUUGGUUAAGUUGGUCUUUCACUAAAGAUGCUCAUGAGGACAUGUUUUGCUGUGUUUUUCUAUAGCAGAUUCAGAUUUACUAAAUGUUUAUUAUCUAGUAAAACACAUGACCAAAAUUGCUAAUCCAGAUUGGCAAACUGACCUCAGAAAACAGUUUAAAUCCAACAGAACUUAAAUAAAUGAAAUCAGGGUCCAUGGCCACCCAAAUAUUAACUGAACUAAAGCUAAGAUGGGAGGAUUUAAAUAGAGAAUUUGAGAACUCAUGCUAAUGAGAUUCUUUUUCUUCUUUCAUUUUACUCUUAUUUUUAGAAAAUAAAAGAAGACAAAAUGUAAAAAUGCAGUUAAGAUGUGAACUAAGUGUAAAAUAGAAGACCUCACUUCCUGGAGUCGUCCUGGAUUCUUCUUUCAUGGCUGAGUAACCUUGACCUGGAUCUCUUAACCCCUGAAAUCUUUUCUUUCUCUUAUCUGUCUAUAGUUCAUAGAAACAAAAACAAGAAAAAAACCUUUCCAGUUUAAAAGGAAAUUACCAAUGAGGAUCCUAUAAGAAAUUCACUUAAAUCCCACUACGAUUCAAUAAACUAUGAUAUUUUGUAAGCUUAGUCAUGAAAUUGUUAUAAUGUGUUGUGUGUGGUGUGUGUGUGUGUGUGUGUGUGUGUGUGUGUGUGUGUGUGUGGAGUGUUUGUGUUAAAUCUCCUAGCUUUAUCUUUUCAAUAAAUGCUUAUCUGAGUCUUUUACCUUUGAGAAUGUCUGUUAACAACUCCAGUCCAUGGUGACCAAAAGUGCCAUAAAUAGUUCCAGUGAAGUGGCCGUAUUCUAACCCUUCACCUUGGUCACAAAUGAUGAAGCCAGGGUCAGGUACCCAAAUUAAGGGCAGCUAAUGUGCAAGUGGGAAUGGUUGGUGAUUUAAAAUAUGCAUGGCAAAAAUAGUUUGGCAUAAAAUCUCUUCCUUGAGGGAAAUAAUGUCUCAUUAGACCAAUUAGAAGCCCCUUAGGUCAUUGAACUGCAGGCACACAAAUACAACAGACAUAGAUUAGUGGGUGUGGGAGCAGAAACAUAUGAACUCUCAAAUAAAAAGAUAUUUGCCUCUGGGUACCAGUAUAUCUAUAAUUCCAGAAAGUCAGGAGACUGAGGCAGGAGGAUCACCAAUUCAAAGACGAGCCUGGGCAGUUUAGUGAGACUAUCUUAAAAUGAAAAUUUAAAAGGACUGUGGAUGGAGCUCAGUGGUACAGUGCCCCUGGGAGUAGUCCCCAAUAAUAAUUGCAAGUCUGCUUCCAAGGUGGUAAUCUAGUUUCUGGUUGCUAGGGCUGUGUCUGAUCCUGCAUGAGUUUUAACUGCAGUUAUUUCCAAGAAUCUGGGCUCAUGUGAGUUUCUUGUUUUUAUGAGAAAAUAAUCUGAAUUUUUCUGGAAUCCUUGGAAGUUAAUUCAAUAGUUGAGAUUUCUGUAUCUUAUCAAUCCAUCCCAUGUGUAUCCUUACAAUAAAACUUCCUGCU